AAUCAUCGAAGCGACGCACUCCUCCUCCCAGUGUCGCUCGAUGUGGAUCGGUGGUACUCCUCCUCCCAAUCGCCGAUCAAGUUUGAAGCCUGCCGCACCUCCUCCCGCGGCAGGCUUUUUCC
rnacentral:sRNA from 20 species